rnacentral:rRNA from 1 species
AAUCUUGCGCAAUGGGCGAAAGCCUGACGCAGCCAUGCCGCGUGAAUGAUGAAGGUCUUAGGAUUGUAAAAUUCUUUCACCGGGGACGAUAAUGACGGUCCCCGGAGAAGAAGCCCCGGCUAACUUCGUUCCAGCAGCCGCGGUAAUACGAAGGGGGCUAGCGUUGCUCGGAAUUACUGGGCGUAAAGGGUGCGUAGGCGGAUCGUUAAGUCAGAGGUUAAAUCCAAGGGCUUAACCCUGGAACUGCCUUUGAUACUGGCGAUCUUGAGUAUGAGAGAGGUAUGUGGAACUCCGAGUGUAGAGGUGAAAUUCAUAGAUAUUCGGAAGAACACCAGUGGCGAAGGCGACAUACUGGCUCAUUACUGACGCUGAGGCGCGAAAGCGUGGGGAGCAAACA